CCUACGGGUGGCAGCAGUGGGGAAUAUUGGACAAUGGGCGAAAGCCUGAUCCAGCCAUGCCGCGUGUGUGAAGAAGGCCUUCGCGUUGUAAAGCACUUUCAGUGGGGAAGAAAGCCUUGGGGCUAAUACCCUCGAGGAAGGACAUCACCCACAGAAGAAGCACCGGCUAACUCCGUGCCAGCAGCCGCGGUAAUACGGAGGGUGCGAGCGUUAAUCGGAAUUACUGGGCGUAAAGCGCGCGUAGGCGGUCUGAUAAGCCGGUUGUGAAAGCCCCGGGCUCAACCUGGGAACGGCAUCCGGAACUGUCAGGCUAGAGUGCAGGAGAGGAAGGUAGAAUUCCCCGUGUAGCAGUGAAAUGCGUAGAGAUCUGGAGGAAUACCAGUGGCGAAGGCGGCCUUCUGGACUGACACUGACGCUGAGGUGCGAAAGCGUGGGUAGCAAACAGGAUUAGAUACCCUUGUAGUC
rnacentral:rRNA from 1 species